GCUGGGUGCAGUGCUGCCCACCUAUAAUCCCAGUGGCUCAGGAGGCUGAGGCAGGAGGAUUGCAAGUUCAAAGCCAGCCUCAGCGAUUUAGUGAGGCCCUAAGCAAUUCAGUGAGACCCUGUCUCUA
rnacentral:sRNA from 1 species